rnacentral:lncRNA from 1 species
UUAGAUUUGGUGUUGGAGUAAAGCCUCUUCCACUCAUCGAGAACCAUUGGGCUUGGUGGUAGCAAGUCAAGAGGGUUCUUUGCCUUGGGCUUUGGCGCCUCUUCUUCCUCCUCAACAACCUUAGGUGCCUCUGCUGCAGGGGCAGCCUUUUUCUUAGGUUCCUCCUUGGGCUUUGCAGGCUGCCCGGCUUUCUUGAUAGGGGGGACAGCUUCAGUCUGUUUGACAUCACCCACCACCUUCUUAAAGUUUGGUUGGUUGAUCACGGUCCAGAAGUAUCUCUCG